UAUUUCUUCUAUCUAACUGUAUUUUUGUACCCAAUAAUCAAUCUGUCUUUAUCUCACCCUCUCCCAUCCCCUUCCUAGCUUGUGAAAUAAUUCUAUUAGAGAUGACAACAAUUUUAUAUAAACAAGAAUUAAGUAGAUACAUUAUUGCUAAAAACCGGUCACUAAGAGAAACAGCAGUAAGUGGAAAGUAAAUUUGUCAUAGUGAGGACAAUGAUUGAUAAGCUAGGAAUUACAUGCACUGUAAAUGCCAAUUUAGAAAUAAUCUAAACUUAUUUGAGUGUUCAAAUGAGGACUAUGUGCAUUAGAAUAGUUUUUAAUAUAAAAUUUACUCUCUUCCCACAACACAAGAGUACUCCCUACUAAAUCUGGUAUCUGAAACUGCAAGUAUCCAGAGAAUUCGCUGCCCCACCAAAGUUUCCUAGUAGUGAGAUUUUGAUGUGUCCUGAUUUUCUACCCUAGAGCAAAGGAGGACUGUCUUUAAUAUUUCCCCAUGAUCUGCCUCUGAGAGAAUAAGAUUGGGGAUGAGAAAGUUAGAUUCUUACUCUCUGCAGUAACAGAGCUUUGUAGAAGCAAGUUGAGGAUUAUUUGUUUGUUUGUUUGCUUGUUUGAGAUGGGUCUCACUAUGUUGCCCAGGCUGCUCUCAAAUUCUUGUACUCAAGUGAUCCUCCUGCCCCAGCCCCGACAGUGCUGGGAUUACAAGAAUGAGCCACCACUGCACUCGGCCUGGGGAAGUAUGUAGGACUGGGUUCACUCUCAGGUAUGAUUUAGCAUUUUUUGUUUUCAGGAAAUAGAGAGAUGCCUUUACACUAAGAAGAGGAACUCACUCUAAAAAUCUAAUGAUUCUUUUUUUUUUUUUGAGACAGUCUCACUCUUGUUGCCCAGGCUGGAGUGCAGUGGUGUGAUCUCGGCUCACUGCAACCUCCAGCUCCAGGGUUCAAGCAAUUCUCCUGCCUCAGCCUCUUACACAUUCUAUGGCCGUGGGAGGAAAUAGGGAUAUAGACCUGUGGGGAAAUAAAUGUCUUGGUAUAAGAAUACACUUAACAGGGGGGAAAGAAGUGACAACCUGUGAGAUUUGCUACGUAAGGAGAAAAAAAAUCAUCUGCUGUCUUCAUAUCAGGCUUUCGCUCUCCUUUCCAGGCCAAGAGUACGGCUAAAAGUUAUUUCUUGCUGAAAGGCUGCUGAGGGAAGGGGAAUCCCAUAGUUCCAGGGCUUGAUUCCUGACUAAAACAUUGUCAGUUCAAAACUUCCAGCAGUUCUUUGGUUUUGUGUGUGUGUGUAUGGUGGGAAUUAGGCAAACAUUUUUUUGUUAUGGGAAGACCACCACAAAUACCCUAUUCUGGAUUGGAGAGGAGAGAGACCAUGUAGUUUCAAGGAACUAAAAUACUCUGCUAUUCCUUUUUUUUUUUUUUUUUUUUUAAGACAGAGUCUCGUUCUGUUGCCCAGGCUGGAGUGCAGUGUUUCUAUCUUGGCUCAUUGCAACCUCCACCUCCUGGGUUCAAGUGAUUCUCGUGCCUCAGUCUCCCAAGUAGCUGGGAUUACAGGUGUGUGCAACCAUGCCCAGGUAAUUUUUGUUAUUUUUAGUAGAGACAGGGUUUUGUCAUGUUGGCCAGAAUGGUCUGGAACUCCUGGCCUCAAGUGAUCCACCUGCCUCGGCCUCCCAAAGUGCUUGGAUUACAGGCGUGAGACACCAUGCCUGGCCAGUACUCUGCUAUUCCUUUUGACAUCAUUGAGGAUAGAGUUGGAUCUUUGCAGAUUUUGUAACCUUUAAGAAAAUGUUGCUUUUCUAAAUAUGAUUUAGACUGUACUGUUUCUUAAAUUUAUUUAUUAUUCUUAGGAAGUGUGUGUAUGUGUGCUUUCAUAGUUAUCCACAGGCCACUCACUGGGAGUGGGGUAUAGGACUAGGAAAGACCAAAAGCAAUGAUACGAUCAAAGUCUCUCAGAGAUCAUACUUGGAAACUCAUGGUGCUAAUUCAGUCAGAAUAACCUAGACUUUUGGAAGUAUCUUUAAGUCUGACUAUUUUAUCCUGAAGCUGAUAGGCUUUAAAUAUGUGUUUCCUCUGAAUCUCACGUUGAAAUGCAAUCCCCAGUGUUGGAGAUAGGGGCUGGGUGGGAGGUGAUUGGAGCAUGAGGGUGGAUUUCUCAUAAAUGAUUUAGCACCAUCCUCUUGGUGCUGCUCUUGCAAUAGUGAGUUCUUGUGGGAUCUAGUUGUUGUAAAGUGUGUGGCAACUUCCUCUCACUCUCUCUUUUGCUUCUGCUGCCGCCAUGUGAGAUGCCUGUUCCCUCUUCACCUUCUGCUAUGAUUAGAAGUUUCCUGAGGCCUCCCCAAAAGCUAAAAUUGGCACUAUGCUUCCUACACAGCCCGCAGAACCAUGAGUCAAUUAAACUUCUUAUAAAUUACCCAGUCUCAGGUAUUUCUUUAUGGCAAUUCAAGAAUGACAUAAUACAGAUUCUUUUGUUAUAGAAGUGAAGUUUCUAUUGAAGAGACUCUCUGCCAUCAAACAAGAAAAUAAUCUAGACAGUUUUAAGUUGAUCAUAUCAGGAGAUGUGAUUUUUACAUGUUAACAAUUUCUAGAAAAUGUAGGUUACAUGAACUAGUUGUUAGAUAUUGAAAUUAGAAAAUAUUAAAUGAAUUCAUAUUAUAAUGUUACACUCUUUUGAACUUUACUCAAAAAGAAUCUGAAUUCUAGAAAUGCUUCUUUUUUAUUAGGUAGAAGAGUAACUCUGAACUUGUUUUUUUCUUUCUUUUCCUUUUGUAAUAAUUUGUUUUACAAUAUCAUAGCAGAUGUUUGUAAUUUUUUGGCUGCCCAAUUUGAACCCUCAACCUAUAUUUGGAAACUGCUUUAUAUCUGAGUCUUGGUAGCAGGUUGAACCUGAGAAUGUUUCCCAGCAGAAGAGGAAAUUCUUGCCACCUAUACUGACGGUGCAUGUGUGUUUUAAAUGAAAAUGGAGCAUUUUAUUGGUUUGUGGCCAUUGAGAAAAGAAUUAUUAGUCAAAAAGUCCCUUUCCAGAUUUUUAUAUUCAUCAAAUAAA
rnacentral:lncRNA from 1 species